GAUGAACGCUGACAGCAUGCUUAACACAUGCCAGUCUUUGGCGAAGCUGUGCUUGCACAGCCUAGCCAAGGCGGACGGGUGAGUAACGCGUAAGGAACUUGCCCUGCAGUCAGGGAUAACAGACGGAAACGACUGAUAAGACCUGGUAAAGUCAGGCGGACUCAUGUCCAGCCUGAUGAAAAGAGAUGCUGCAGGAGAGCCUUGCGUCCUAUUAGCUUGUUGGUGGGGUAACGGCCCACCAAGGCGAUGAUAGGUAGCCGGCCUGAGAGGGUGGACGGCCACAAGGGGACUGAGAUACGGCCCUUACUCCUACGGGAGGCAGCAGUGGGGAAUAUUGGACAAUGGGGGCAACCCUGAUCCAGCAAUUCUGUGUGCACGAUGAAGGUUUUCGGAUUGUAAAGUGCUUUCAGCAGGGAAGAAAAAAAUGACGGUACCUGCAGAAGAAGCGACGGCUAAAUACGUG
rnacentral:rRNA from 1 species